AUAAAGCCCCAAAAAUCAGGCAACAAAAUACAACAGUGUUCCAGAAAUUUACAAAGAACCAAACAUAGGACUUAUCUUUUCUAGAACUACACAAGGCAACCACUAUUCCACACAGGAACUAACUGAGAUCGCAAAGGUCUCACAAAUGUCGAACUUCCCACAAUGAACAAGGCUUAUUUCAAGAGAAAUCACAAGGCAAGUCAAUAUUCCAUAAAGGAAUCAACACCGAUCACAUAGAUCUACCAAAACACAGAUUCUGCCAACAAUGAAUCACUAAGAUUCAUAUACAAAUCACACAGCAAAUCAGGUUCAACUAAGGAACUGAACCAGACCACUAAGAGAGCUGCUCACUUUGAACCACAUAGGUUCAUACAAACCAAAAAUGGAACAGCACCACUACCAUAUGUAUCUAUAGUAUUACAAGGGUUUUACAGAUUUUAUUUGCUGAAAAACUCAAGAAAUCAUGCCCCAAUCACCAAGUAAAAAUACGGCUCUUCACCAAGAAAUAGAACCUAAGAAGCCGACUCAAAAAUGAAGUUCCCAUACAGUCAAGAAAAUCGAAUAGCAAUCUGUCCCAAAACCAAGAAUAUUUCUCCCCAAAAUCUCCAAAAAUAAAAGACCCAAAUUCACUGAGAAGAAGGGCUUCUCGUAGGGAAGAAAGAGAGAGCAAGAUCGAACUUCAAAUGAAAAAUUAAUCUCUCAAAAUGAUGCUGCAGUCCAGAAAGAAUUGCACCUGAUUUUUUAUAUUGCAAGUCACUAUAAUUUGAUAUAAUGGACAUAACGAUACUAGGUGUCGAAAUGUGGAUGAAAGCUUCACUAAAGAAGUUGUUACUUUGUAAAACACGACUCUUAAUUUUUGGAAGCACAAGAUUUAACUGAAACGGAUUUAAUUCUCAACAAUCUCCACCUUGCUUCCAAAAUUUAAGGCUAUAGUGCACCCACAAGCUUCACCAACAUUUAUAAUGUCUUUUGCUCCAAGUACCUGUACAAUCAAUGAAAAGAAUCAAUAGAUAACAUCUUUAAACAGUUUUGAAACUUAUUUAAAGGUAUCACCUUAGUUCCCAUAUCUAAUGGAUUAUACAAAAUAGGUAUUUUAUUUAUUUUCAGCAAUCCUUUUGAUAUAAUAUCCCUUAUAAAGUGAUAUUUUACAUCAACAUGCUUCAUUCUAUCAUGGAACAUGGGAUUCUUACUCAAAUGGAUUGCACUUUGAUUGUCAGAAUAUAGUAUUGGAUUAGUGUCUACAAAACCAAGUUCAUUCAACAAACCAUGCAGCAAUAUACCUUCUUUGAUGGCAACAGUGGCAGCAAAAUAUUCAGCCUCCGUGGAAGAUAGAGCAAUAAUUUUUUAUAACUGAGAUUUCCAACUUAUCACAGUACCACACAAAGUGUAAAAAUGAGAUGAAGUUGAUUUUCUAUUGUCUCUAUUUCUAGCAAAAUCAGAAUCUGUAUAACCUUUUAAAAUUACCCCCUCUUUGUCCAUUUUAAACAUCAAACCCAAGUUAGAUUAACCCUUUAAGUAUCUCAAUAACUACUUCAAUGCUUCCCAAUGAAUUUCACCAGGAUUUCCCAUAAAUCUACUCAAAACACUAAUACUAAAAGCCAAAUCAGGUAUGGUACAAAUCAUUAAGUACAUGACUGAACCAAUAGCAUUAGCAUAAGGAAUUUUAGACAUUCUUUCAAGUCCAUCUUCAGUUUUAGGACAUGAAUCAGAUGUUAAUAUAAAGUGAUUAGCAAGGGGUAAAGUCAUAGGUUUACAAUCAAACAUAUUAAACCUCUUUAGGAUCUUAUUCACAUAAUCUUGUUGACAUAAGAACAAGCAAUCAAAUUUCUCAUCUCUAAUAAUUUGCAUGCCAAGUAUUUUCUUAGAGGGACCAAGAUCCUUCAUUUCAAAUUCUGAUUUUAAUUUGUGUUUGAUAUCAUCAAUUUUAGAUUUAUUAGCACUAGCAAGAAGCAUAUCAUCAACAUAAAGCACAAGAUACAAUGAAUCUUUACCUCCACUUCCUUUACAAUAAAUGUAUCAUAAUUACUUCUACUAAACCCAAGUUUCAAGACAAAUGAAUCAAAUCUUUUAUACCAUUGUCUUGGAGCUUAUUUUAGACCAUAUAAUGAUUUUUUCAACAAGCACACAGUUUUUUUCAGGAUUUUCUUUAAUAAAUCCUAGAGGCUGUCUCAUGUAGAUCACUUUAUCCAAUUCACCAUACAUGAAUGCAAUUUUUACAUCUAGUUGAUCAAGAUUCCAUUUAAAUUGUACAACUAAAGCAAGAAUACAUCUUAUAGUUGUAUAUUUAACAACAGAGGAAAAAAUAUCAUCAUAGUCCACACCCUCUUUUGUGUAAAACCCUUGGCAACUAGUCUAGCUUUGUAUCUAACAUUAUUAGUGCCACCUUUCCCUUCCUUUAUUUUAUAAAUCCACUUGCAAUCAACUAGUUUCUUAUCCUUAGGUUUGUCAACCAAUUCCCAAGUUUCAUUCUUAUAUAAGAAAGCCAUAUCUUCUUCCAUAGCACUCAACCACCGCUUAAAAUCUUUAGAUUUCAAGGCUUUAUGACAGGAACUAGGUUCAGAUUCAAUUUCUUCUUGGAAAGUGAACAAAGACACAAAGUCAUCACUAUUGAACCUAGCCAGUGGUCUAAUUUGCCUCCUAUCCCUAUCUCUAGUGAGUUGGUAUUCAUCUAGAGGUAUAUUUAUGUCAUCACAUAAAUUAGGUUCGACCAAAUCAGGCUCAUUUUCAUUCUGGUCAGCCUCAUUAGUUACUGUUUCUAAGGGGGACAGAGCUGGUAUUAUCAACUUUAAUAGGCUCCACCUCAAUUUGGACAUCAUUUUUUUUUCCCUUCCAAACAUGGCAUACAUGACUCAUUAAAGACCACAUCCUUUUUUAUGAUAACCCUGUAACCUUUUUCCCCAUAAACCCACAACCUGUAACCUUUAAUAUUUUUAGCAUAGCCUAAAAACACAUAUUUAAGUUAUCUAGGUUCAAGUUUACCUAUGUUUUGAUGAGCAUAUGCAACACAACCAAAUGUUUUCAAGUAAAAAUAAAUCAAAGGCUUUUUGUGUCCAUACAGAUUUAGGCACAUCAAAAUUUAAAGCACUUGUAGGACUUCUAUUAAUCAAAUAUGCAACAGUUUUAACAGCUUCACCUCAAAAUAAUUUGGGCAAGCCUGAACUUAAAAGCAUGCAUCUAACUUUAUUCAACAAAUGAUGCGAACCCCGUAGCAACGUUGACUACAAAACCCACAAUGAGAUUGACGAACUUAAGAAAGCCAAAUUAGAGUUUAGGAUUAACCCAAAAGAAAGUCGAACCAAAAAAUUCAACAAGAACGACGCUUGAAAGACCCCUUGAUCACGCAAUCCAAGAAUUAAAUUCGGUUGUUUGAACGUCACAAGUUAACACUUGAUAAGUUCGAAAUUGUUCAAUGAAAAACGAUGAACAGAAGACAAUACGCCUCACUUUAAUUCAAUAUCAAUAAUGUCAAAAGGUUUUUUUAACAAUUGAAUGGAAACUCCUAUUUAUACUAAACCUAAAAACUAGGUAAAAAUCGUGCAAAAGUUGAGCAUAAUCUCCAAAAUAUGGAAAAGAAUCAAAAUCUAACAAAAUAUGGAAAAUUGCCAAAAUUGGAAAAUUCGCCAACUUUUUGGCCUGUGCGGCCGCAUGGUGUAUUUCCAUGCGGUCGCAUGGUUCGACAAAAAAUCUCAAUUUAAGUUUCGGUAUGCCACUGUGCAGCCGCAUGGUGUUUUUGCUGUGGGGUCGCACAGGCUUAUUUUCAGCCUCCAGUUUCGUCGCUUGAUAACAAAUUGAUCCAAAUUGAUUCGGCCUUCGACCCGAGCAUGAAAGUUGCUCCAUUUUGAGUCCCGAACAUGGUUCCAUCAAUGGAUUCUUAAACGAGCAAUCCCAUCGCUUGUUUCACUUGUGAGGCAAACCCCGUAGCAACGUUGACUACGAAACCCACAACGAGAUUGACGAACCCAAGAAAGCCAAAUUAAUCCAAGAGUUUAGGAUUAACCCAAAAGAAAGUCGAACCAAAAAACCCAACAAGAACGACGCUUGAAAGACCCCUUGAUCACGCAAUCCAAGAAUUAAAUCCGAUUGUUUGAUCGCCACAAGUUAACACUUGAUAAGUUCGAAAUUGUUCAAUAAAGAACGAUGAAGAGAAGACAAUACGCCUCACUUUAAUUCAAUAUCAAUAAUGUCAAAAGUUUUUAACAAUUGAAUGGAAACUCCUAUUUAUACUAAACCUAAAAACUAGGUAAAAAUCGUGCAAAAGUCGAGAAUAAUCUCCAAAAUAUGGAAAAGAAUCAAGAUCUAACAAAAUAUGGAAAAUUGCCAAAAUUGGAAAAUUUGCCAAAUUUUUGGUCUAUGCGGCCGUAUGGUGUAUUUCCAUGCGGUUGCAUGUUUCAACAAAAAUCUCAAUUUAAGUUUCGGUAUGCCACUGUGCAGCCUCAUGGUGUUUUUGCUGUGCGGUCGCACAGGCGUAUUUUCAGCCUCCGAUUUCGUCGCUUGAUAACAAAUUGAUCCAAGUUGAUUCGGCCUUCGACCCGAACAUGAAAGUUGCUCCAUUUUGAGUCCCGAACAUGGUUCCAUUAAUGGUUUCUUGAAUGAUCAAUCCCAUCGCUUGUUUCACUUGCUUUACCUUUGAUCGCAUCAUUGGUCCGCCAUCGACUAUCAACGGGUCUCGUCUCGCACUUGCCUUCGUCGGGCUCGACUCCUGGAUCAUAUCAUCCCCUCCCUCUUCAAAAGGAUUCGUCCUCGAAUCUGAACCUGCAUCAAACAAAGAGAGAUCAGAUACAUUAAAAGUAGCCGAAACAUUGUACUCAUCUGGAAAGUCCAACUUGUAAGCAUUGUCAUUUAUCUUUUCAAUCACUUGAAAUGAACCAUCGCCCCUCGGUUGCAACUUGGACUUCCUUUGCUCCGGAAAACACUCUUUCCUAAGGUGCACCCAAACCAAAUCUCCUGGCUUGAAUGUCAGGUGCUUCCUACCUUUGUUCGCCUGCGACGCAACCAACUUACUUUUAAUUUCAAUUUGCGCUUUUACCUUUUCAUGGAAUGACUUAAUCAAUUCCGCCUUCUUUUUGCCAUCUAAACUACCACGUUCAUUCACAUGUAAAGGAAUUAAAUCCAAAGGAGUUAGUGGAUUAAAACCAUAUACAAUUUCAAAUGGAAAAUAUGAGUAGUAGAGUGAACAGCUCAAUUGUAUGCAAAUUCAAUAAAUAGUAGACACUCCUCCCAACUCUUCAAAUUUUUAUUGAUUACUGUGCGUAACAAUUGUGUCAUAGUCCUAUUCACUACCUCAGUUUACCCAUCUGUUUGUGGAUGACAAGUUGUGGAAAAUAGUAACUUAGUGCCUAAUUUACCCCACAAAACUCUCCAAAAGUGACUCAAAGAUUUGACAUCCCGAUCCGACCCGACACUAUGCUUCUAGGAACCCCAUGUAAACGCACAAUCUCUCUAAAGAAUAAGUCAGCAAUGUUCAUGGCAUCGUCCGUUUUGUGAGAUGGUAUAAAAUGUGCUAUUUUGCUGAACCUGUCUACAACCACAAAAAUAGAAUCCCGACCUCUCUUAGUCCUAGGUAAAUCCAAAACAAAGUCCAUCGAGAUAUCAACCCAAGCUUCACUAGGUGUAGGUAAAGGUGUGUACAAAACUUGUGGUAAAUCCUUAGAUUUAACCUUUUUACAACCUAUGCAUAGACUACAAAUUCGCUCAACAUCACUUUUCAUCUUAGGCCAAUAAAAAUGCUCCUUCAAUAUAUCUAAAGUCUUUUGAACCCCAAGGUGUCCCAUCAAUCCACCACUAUGUGCCUCCCUUACUAACAACUCCCGAAUAGAACAAUUAGGAACACAUAAUCUAUUUUCCCGAAAUAAAUACCCCUCAUGCCUAAAGAACCUAUCAACCACCCCUUUUAUGCAUGACAAAUAAAUAUCCGAAAAUUCAACAUCUUUUUCAUACAAUUCCUUAAUAUGUUCAAACCCAAGUAACUUGGAAUCAAGAGUAGUUAGCAAUACGUACCUUCGCGACAACGCAUUCGCCACCACAUUUUUCUUACCUUGCUUUUACCGAAUGACGUAUGGAAAGGUCUCAAUGAAUUCCAUCCACCUUGCAUGCCUCUUGUUCAAUUUACCUUGUCCCCGCAAGUGCUUUAAUGACUCAUGAUCGGUGUGUAUUACGAACUCUUUCGGCCAUAGAUAAUGUUGCCAAGUCUUCAAAGCUCGAAGAAGUGCAUAAAGUUCUUUGUCAUAUGUAGGAUAAUUUGAAGUAGCUCCACUCAAUUUCUCGCUAAAGUAUGCAAUAGGCCUCCGAUCCUGCUUUAAAACUGCUCCAAUCCCUAUUCCUGAUGCAUCACACUCAAUCUCGGAUGUUUUAUCAAAGUUAGGUAAUGCCAAAAUAGGUGCUUCACACAAUCUACCUUUAAUAGUAUUAAAUGCAAGUUCCUGUUCAUCACCCCAAUGAAAACCUACACUCUUUUUAACUACUUCCGUGAGUGGUGCAGUGAUAGUACUAAAAUCCUUCACAAAUCGCCUAUAAAAACUAACCAAACCAUGAAAACUCCUAACUUCCGUUUGCUUUUAGGUGUCGGCUAAUCUCUAAUAGCUUUUAUCUUUUCAUCGUCUACUUCUACCCUAUUAGCACUAACCACAAAUCCAAGAAAUAUAACUCUAUCCAUACAAAACGUGUAUUUCUUAAUAUUAGCAUAGAGUUGUUCUUUCCUUAAAACAAUUAGCACACACUUUAAAUGUUCCAAAUGCUCUCCUAGAUUUUUGCUAUAGAUUAAGAUGUCGUCAAAAUAAACCACAACAAAUUUUCCUAUAAAAGCAUGUAAAACACGAUUCAUUAAACGCGUAAAAGUGCUAGGUGCAUUUGUGAGUCCAAACAGCAUAACCAACCAUUCAUAUAAACCAUAUUUAGUUUUAAAAGUCGUUUUCCAUUCAUCACCCUCCCGCAUACGAAUUUGAUGAUACCCACUUUUUAAAUCAAUUUUAGAAAAUAUGCAAGCACCAUGUAAUUCAUCAAGCAUGUCAUCUGACCUAGGUAUAGGGUGACGAUACUUUACCGUUAUGUUGUUGAUAGCCCUACAAUCCACGCACAUUCGCCAUGUUCCAUCCUUUUUUGGUACAAGCAAAAUCGGUACCGCACAAGGACUCAUGCUUUCCCUCACGUAUCUUUUACUCAUUAACUCCUCCACUUGCCUUUGAAGCUCCUUAGUCUCCUCGGGAUAACUUCGAUAAGCCGGUCAAUUUGGAAUGACAGCUCCGGGUAUGAAGUCAAUUUGAUGUUCAAUGCCUCGAAUAGGCGGCAAUCCACUUGGUGCAUCCUCUGGAAAUACAUCGUCGAAUUCCUGCAACAAAGACUUAGCCAAAGUAGGGAGGGGUGGGUUAGUUUCCUCAAAAUUGAGCAGUGAUUCCUUAUAAACGAACAAGAUCAUCUCUUUUCUCUCAACUACCGCUCUCCUCAAAUCACUCUCUUUUGCAAAGAAAUUCGCUCGUGUUUUCUCUCUUCUCUCGGGGCACUCUCUUUCUUUUCUCUCUUGUGAUUGCUCUCUCUUUUUCUCUCUAAUGGCUAUCUCAAUAUUUUCUCUCUUUUUCUCCAACUCACUAUUUGCUCUCAUUUUUUCUAACUCCUUUGCUCUCCUCUCUUUCUCACUUCUCAAUUUUAAUUGGUCUUCAUAGACUUGUGCCGGUGUUAAUGGCACAAGAGUAAUGGUCCUUCCAUCCUUAAUGAAACUAUAUCGAUUUUUGUACCCAUCAUGCAUAGCCUUCCUAUCGUAUUGCCAUGGUCGCCCCAAUAAAAUAUGUCCCGCUUUCAUUGGCACCACAUCACAUACUAACUCAUCCUUAUAACUCCUAAUUGACAAAUUAAUUAAUACUCUUCGAUUCAUCCUCACCUCGCCACUCUCAUUCAACAAUUACAAUUUAUAAGGUCUCGGGUGUCUCAACAAUGUUAAACCCAAUUUUUCUACAAGAGAUACGCUAGCUACAUUAAUGCAACUACCACCAUCAAUUAUAACACUAAAUACCGUAUUGUUGACAUGGCAUCGAGUGUGGAAAAUGUUCUCCCUUUGCAACUCCAAGUCAACCGCUUUGACGUGAGUAGUGAGAGCUCGCCUUGUGACUAGUAGAUCCCCAACCGGCCCUUCAACUUUUUCUUCUUCAUUAACACCCUCCAACACUGGCAUGUCAUCAAACUCGCCAUCACUAUCGCUCACAAUCUCUCCAUUAUCCCGCAGCACCAUCGCCCAUUUGUUUGGGCAUUGAGAAGCAAUAUGUCCCGUUCCCAAACACCUAAAACAUUUGAUGUCCCGAUUGCGCGACGGUUGUGCCUCCGAUUUUGAUAUUGGUUUGCUAGCGUUUUCAUCCUUGCCCUUUUGCCAAUCAUUUUUACCUCUAGGUGCAGCCCCGUUUUUGUUGUUAUCAUCCCACUUCGAUUUCCAUGUUGAUUAGGAGUCGAAGUACCUAACGGUUGCCUAGACGUCCCCUUCCUCUUCAAUUGCCUCUCAACCUUCAUUGCUACAUGUAACAUGUCCUCGAUUUCCACAUAGUGUUGCAACUCUACAACAUUUGCAAUAUCCCGAUUUAACCCAUUCAAGAACCGUGUCAUGGUAGCUUCUCGAUCUUCCUCCACAUUAGCCCGAAUCAUAAGAAUUUCCAUCUCCUUGUGAUAAUCCCCUGCACUUUUCGAUCCUUGGUACAAACCUUGCAAUUUUUGAUGAAUUUCCCUAUAAUAGUGACUCGGAACAAACCUCCUCCUCAUCAACAUUUUCAACUCAUCCCAAGUGCUAAUUGGCCUUUCCCAAUCCCUACAUCGUGAUGUAAGUACUUGAUCCCACCAAGAUAUCGCGUAAUCCACGAAUUCAAGCACCGCGAAUUUUACCUUUUUCUCCUCCGAAUAAUUAUAGCACCCAAAAAUCAUCUCAACCUUCCUUUCUCGCUCUAAAUAUGCUUCUGGAUCGCUUCUCCCCUUAAAUUAUGGAAUAGUCAUUUUAAUACUCCCCAAAUUUUCAUCUACUUCAUCUCCCAAGUCAUUCCUACCCCGUCUUUCCAUCCUAUCGCUCCUAUGCCUCGCUCGACCCAUAUCAAUGUCAUUUUCAUCAAAAUCAUCCUCAUCACUACGAUACUCAUCCCGCCUUCCUCUCCUAGAUUCACGCCUACCCGGCUCUCUAGCAUUAGACAUCUCCACUUGUCCCCGACUAAGAUUAGCAAUUGUAGUACCCAUUUGUGCUAUCCAUUCCCCUUGCCUAUCCACCUUCUCCCUAACAUCACCAAAUACCCUUUCAAACCUCCUUAUCACGUCCUCCGAUGCAUUGUUGUCAUUACCAUUUCGACUUGAAUUAGAACCUUCUCUUUUCGGCAUCAUAUCACACAAUUUUUUUAUGCCUCACAAAGAUUUCACUCGGAAAACACUCACUAUGGCUUUUUCCCUCUAUUAAACUCACCACUCGGCCUUUUACCACUCAAAGUCUCCCUCCAAGCACUUCAAAGAACCAAGUGAACUAAAUCAAUUAUUUUACCGACAAUUCAAACAAACCGAAUAUUAAUCAAAGACCACGAGACUCAAAGGACUUGAAUAAGUGGAAUAGAUGAAUGUUUUGACACAAUUAUGUGAAUAGACUCAAAAGAAAAAUGAAAGACUCGAACCCAGUUGAAUAUCCCAAAAAUCAAACACAAUGUAGGAAUUGUUGUUGGUAGAAAAAAACACAAAAUCAAACAGUGAUAUCAAUUUUUAUAUAUAUAUAUAUAUUUUAUUUUUGUGAACAAUAUUUCGAGAUGAACAGUACCUCGAAUGUACAGUAACCUUUUUUUUUAUUUUUGUACUCUUUUUUUUUUACUCCUUGAUGAAAGAAGAUGAUUAAACUACCAAUAACUAAACGAAACGACGAAAAGAAAAACAAGGAUGAAGAAGAACUAAGAAAGAAUGAUUAAAAUAGAAGAAGAAACUAAGAAAACAAAAUUAACGACUCAACAAAUAAAGAAAAGAUAUAACCUUCAAUUAAUUUGGAGCCAAAGUUCUGAUACCAACUGAUGCGAACCCCGUAGCAACGUUGACUACGAAACCUACAACAAGAUUGACGAACCCAAGAAUGUCAAAUUAAUCCAAGAGUUUAGGAUUAACCCAAAAGAAAGUCGAACCAAAAAACCCAACAAGAACGACGCUUGAAAGACCCCUUGAUCACGCAAUCCAAGAAUUAAAUCCGGUUUGUUUGAAUGCCACAAGUUAAAACUUGAUAAAUUCGAAAUUGUUCAAUGAAGAACGAUGAAGAGAAGACAAUACGCCUCACUUUAAUUCAAUAUCAGUAAUGUCAAAAGGUUUUUUUAACAAUUGAAUGGAAACUCCUAUUUAUACUAAACCUAAAAACUAGGUAAAAAUCGUGCAAAAGUUGAGCAUAAUCUCCAAAAUAUGGAAAAGAAUCAAAAUCUAACAAAAUAUGGAAAAUUGCCAAAAUUGAAAAAUUCUCCAAAUUUUUUGCCUGUGCGGCCGCAUGGUGUAUUUCCAUACGGUCGCAUGAUUCAACAAAAAAUCUCAAUUUAAGUUUCGAUAUGCCAUUGUGCGGCCGCAUGGUAUUUUUGCUGUGCAGUCACACAGGCUUAUUUUCAGCCUCCGAUUUCGUCGCUUGAUAACAAAUUGAUCCAAGUUGAUUCGGCUUUCGACCCGAGCAUGAUAGUUGCUCCAUUUUGAGUCCCGAACAUGGUUCCAUCAAUGGUUUCUUGAACGAGAAAUCCCAUUGCUUGUUUCACUUGCUUUGCCCUUGAUCACAUCAUUGGUCCGCCAUCGACUAUCAACGGGUCUCGUCUCGCACUUGUCUUCGUCAGGCUCGACUCUUGGAUCAUAUCAACAAAGUUCUAUUCAUUCUUUCUGCAAUGCCAUUUUGCUGGGGUGUGUAUGUUACAGUUCUAUGUCUUCAGAUGUCAUUCAACUUGUAAAAAUCAUUAAACUCAUAAUUGCAAAAUUCUAGUCCAUUGUCUGUUCUCAAAGUUUUGAUUUGAUUUUCAAUUUGGGUUUCCAAUCUUUAAAUGUAGUAAAUGUUUCAUCUUUAGUUUUCAAAAGAAAUACCCAAAUUUUUCUUGAGAAAUCAUCAAUAAUAAGCAAGUAAUACUUGUAACCAGACAAUGUAGGGAUGGAUGCCAGACCCCACAAAUCCGCAUGUAAAUAUUCUAGAAUUUGCUUUGAUUUAUGAGUACUAGUGGGAAAAGGUAAUUUAACCUGCAUUCCAAUCAAACAUUGUUCACAUUUAGCCAAUUCACCAAUAUUUGAUUUUCCAAAUACACCUUUAUUUUGUAAAGCGUUUAAACCUUUUACCCCAAUGUGAACAAGUCUACAAUGCCACAAUUUUGCAAGAUUUUUUUGGCCGAAGCCCCAGAGGUUCCGCGACCACUUCUAAUGCCUAUUCCCCUGUUGAGCAUCCAUUAAAAUGGAUAGAGCUCGGUUGCACCAUAAAGCCCCAAAAAUCAGGCGACAAAAUACAACAGUGUUCCAGAAAUUUACAAAGAACCAAAUAUAGGACUUAUCUUUUCUAGAACUACACAAGGCAACCACUAUUCCACACAGGAACUAAUUGAGAUCACAAAGGUCUCACAAAUGUCGAACUUCCCACAAUGAACGAGGUUUAUUUCAAGAGAAAUCAUAAGGCAAGUCAAUAUUCUACAAAGGAAUCAACACCGAUCACAUAGAUCUACCAAAACACAGAUUCUGCCAACAAUGAAUCACUAAGAUUCAUAUACAAAUCACACAGCAAAUUAGGUUCCACUAAGGAAUUGAACCAGACCACUAAGAUCUUCAAAAACCCGACCUGCUCAAUUCGAACCACACAGGUUCAUACAAACCAAAAAUGGAACAGCACCACUACCAUAUGUAUCUAUAGUAUUACAAGGAUUUUACAGAUUUUAUUUGCUGAAAAACUCGAGAAAUCAUGCUCCAAUCACCAAGUAAAAAUACGGCUCUUCACCAAGAAAUAGAACCCAAGAAGCCGACUCAAAAAUGGAGUUCCCACACAGUUAAGAAAACCGAACAGCAAUCUGUCCCAAAACCAAGAAUAUUUCUCCCCAAAAUCUCCAAAAAUAAAAGACCCAAAUUCACCAAGAAGAAGGGCUUCUCGUAGGGAAGAAAGAGAGAGCAAGAUCGGACUUCAAAUGAAAAAUUAA
rnacentral:lncRNA from 1 species